UUGGUAAAUACUACAGAUGUCUCAUAGACCUGGAAAGAUAUAAAGAAUUGCUAUGUAGACCAGAGAGCCUCCAGGUUGCCUCAGAUUAGUAUGAGAAAGACCUCUUUAUUGAUGAAAAUUCUUUCCACGACCUCUUGGAAUAUCUCUGCACUCAUAUUUAUAAAGGUAUUAAAUGGUUGGGUUGCUUAUGCAAAAAUAUUUGUGAAUUUGUUCAUUUGCAUGCAAUCGAAUGACUCAGACAGGCACACAUAUAGCCACAAUGUAGGUUAAGCCUCUCAGGAACAUAGCAAAAUAUGGAAUAACUGAUGAUGCAUGAGCAUUAGCAACCAGAAUGGACAGUGGCUGAAGCAGGGUCCAAGAGGCCUUCUAUGCUAGACCAUCUCAGGAGGGACUAAGAGGUGGCAGGGUAAGGAAAGGAGGACACUUUGAGGACUUAGUAGAGCUGCUAUGUGCCAACUAGUAAGGAAGUAUUUUUAUAUUUUAUAGUAGGUAUGGCCAUAAUGGUGUGUAUAAGUAAUUAUCAGUCUUUUCCCUUUUGCUUCAACUAUGUUGCCCUUAUAUGAAUUAUUUUCCCUUUCUAGCAAGCUCUACAUGUUGUCUGUCACUGUCUUAUUUCCUCUGCUCAAUGUCUUUCCCAACUUUCUACAGAUGAUGAUUCCCAUCUACAGACUCGAGCCUUCACCAAUUCCUGAGGCAGUCCUGAAGAUGGUGGCAGUCCAAUCAGUAACACCAGCAACCUGAUGCAUGCUUUCCAAAAAGAGCUCAGGCUGCAUAGGUAAUCUCUGAGUUGCAGGUUUCCCUUCCAUCCCUCAAUCUUGGCUUUAUGUGUAGAGUAGCCUUUGGCCUCAGUUUUCCUCCCCAGUAUCUGUA
rnacentral:lncRNA from 10 species